CAGUGGAAGCCGGCCUGCUUCUCCUGAGUGACCACACCCUCUGGGGAGUAGAAGAGCAAGACCCUACAUUGGCCUUCUUUCCGUGGCUGGGGUUCCUUCCUGCAUCCAGACCCCUGGGUCCGCACUGGAGCCGGUGGGCGGGUGGCACUGUUGGUGGGAUGUGCGUGACACACACGAAUGAUUCAUGUCCGGCGUGGGUGGCCCCGAAGGCCCUUCCUGAAGACCUGCGAUUGUUCAGAGCUUCCUAAUGAGCCGGCACAGGGCUCUCCAGAGGCCGAUCAGGAGUUCACUCUGUCAGUGUCUGCAGGCCAAGUUCUCAUUUCUAAGGUGAAGCUGAGGUUAGGUUGCUCUGGCUCGCUUCUCAGCAGCAGGGGAAGUGAUGGGUUUUUCAAAUGGAGACCUCCCUGCGGCCUUUUGGAUGGCUUCUUGUAGUCAUUGGAACCAAAGCUACAAAGGGAAAUGGUCAGUGCGUCCAGGGAGAGGAAGAAGCACUGACCGAGGGGCUGAGGAGGAGCCAAGUGCCAUUCUGCAUCUUCUCGAUAUCUGGUCAUCGGAUCAUCUGAUCGCUCACUCCGGACCCUCUGGGCCACUCUCCUCUUCCUGCUGUGUAUUCACAGAAGGACGCCGAGCCUCUCCUCUGCAGGAAGGCCCACCUAUGCGCGGCUGGAGGCGAGGUUGCUCUGGAGGUUCAUGGGAAAGCAGGAAAACCAGGACAGUGAAUAACAGGCUCACUCCAGCGCCAUGGAAGAGAUUCUGAUGACGAAAGAACUCCAGCUGCUUCACCUAUAGAAAGGAAACAAUGGUAUUGAUAGCUCUGUUGGUGACGGUUCUGAAAGACCCAGUCCUGGCUGGAACGCAGCCAGUUCAUCUGAAGAGCGGCGCCCGGGAGCAUUUGGUAGCAGUGAUCACAGCUUUUAAAGGUAGAGGUGCUCUUGGACCCAAAGGACUUAUUUUAGAUGGCUAGACAAAUAACAACAGCCCUCCAUGCCACGGCAAAACACCUGACGUUUCCAGAAAAGAAGAACAAUUUUUACAUCCAGUCAUGUCACCAAAAACAUGCUACUGAGGGAUUGGUGAGGAGUGUGGAGAAAGAAAACUGACCAGUGUAGGAAGUUUCCGGCUACUCAUAAUACAUAUCCUCUGUGAGAUAAUUCCUUGUACCAGCUCUCUGUGAAGACUGAUUGGCUGGGAAGCUCUGUUAAAAGAUGGCCUUUAACCUUUUCUUUGGGUAAGGGACAUAUCUCUGGAAUCAUUAUUUUUAAUGUAUCUUUAAUGUAAAGAUACCCUAACUGUGUAGAUCAUAUAGAUAGAAAAUUCUAGAAAAUUAUGGAAAUAUCUUUUAUAGUUCAAGAGGCUUUUGUAAGGUAUUUUUGAAGAAGUCAAUAAGGAUACCUUAAACUUUGCUCUUCCUAGUACUUAGGUAGAUCUCAGUUUUCUACUUCACUUUACAGAAAGGAAAACAGGAGUAUCUUAUUGUAUGAAUGUGCUAUGAAUAUUAUUGUAUCUAAUAGGAGUCUAAAGCUUCCUCUGUGAGAAAUCUGUGAGUUUUCUGUGGCCUCAGUAUUGGUGAGGAAGGACUUUGUGGUGUUCCCAGGCAGAAAAUCACAAUUUGUAUUUUGCAAAUAUAAACAAAACAAAUACAGAAAUGAUAAUGUGUCCCAGGACCAAAGAACAAAAAUCUCUCUCACACACACACACACACACACACACACACACACAAAUGAGGGCAAGUCAAGCUACAUACCACACUUGGCUGAUUGCCACAGUUUAUGGCUCUUGUUUGCUGCACUGGGAAGGGAUGGUUUGGGAACCGGAAGCCUGCUGGUCGCAUCAUGUAACUGGUGAGGCUCUUACAUCAAGUUGCUUGAAGAGAGUGGGGUGAAUAGUCUCAUCCUUGCUGCAGCCUUGGAGAUAUGCUGCCCGUGCUUUCUCAGUAAAACUAAGCUGUGUAACGUUCUGGGUCAAUGUGGAGCAGAAAAAACAUUUCGUUUGGUAAAACAAGCCUCCAAGACUCCAGACUGUUGUAGCAGCAUCUCCCAGUGAGCGAGGGCUUCAUUCUAAUUAGACCACUUGCUCUCCCUGAACACAUCCCUGGCUUUGGUUAAUUUGUGGACAUUUGCUCCCUGUCUCCUAACAUUUCUCUGCAUUCUCCCAUUCACCACUGAAAUAUUUCCAAGUGAAUAUGUCACACCUUAAGCUUUGCUUAAGAUUUCAAAGAUUGGGAGAGAAGAUGUGACAGUGUAGCUACUCCUGCCUCCCAGAAUAAAAGUUAUGGAUACUUUCCUCAACAGGGUGUAAAAUCCACACCAUUAAGUUUCGGGAGCAUAUGAUAUAGGCAUAACUGCUACUUUCUCUCUAAGGCUGUGUGAGGAGAUCAAGAUGACCUCCCCACCCAAAUUAGCUUGCCUUAGCUACUGAAGAGCCCUGGGUGUUCCAGAAUUACUGAUACAGAAUGUCACCUCUUUUUUGUCUUUGUCUUAUGGGUGUAAGUCGGCACACACUGAAUCUUUACAUUUCCUUCCGUACAUUUUAACAUAAAGGGGGACCUUAAUCUGUCACAUUCUCAAGCCGGCUGACAAGGGUGAUCAGUUGCUGGUGGAGUUCCUGUGUAUUCACACGUGUGGCUCCAGAGUAGUCGCGUUUCCCUCCGUCCUUGCUCUGCUUGCAUGUCCCGAGCAAGCGCUGGCUUGGGACAAGCCCUAACACUUGCAGAGAACUCUGGACUGCCGGGGCGUUCUGAUGACUCUGAUGACGGUUAUGAUUUGUAGUGUAGGAUAUGGAAGCCAGGCUUUGUGUAUGCUAGGCAAGCGCUCUACCCCUGAGCUACAUUCCUAGCCUAGAAAUUUAAUUUUUGAAAAAAACAAAAAAAGCCUGCUGGGGGGCUGGGGAUUUAGCUCAGUGGCAGAAGCGCCUGCCUGGCAAGCGCAAGGUCGUGAGUUCGGUUCCUGGUACCAAAGAAAAACCAAAAAAAAAAACAAAACAAAAAAAGCCUGCUCUAAUGUUUAGGUCGUUUGGCUUCUACAUCAAUGAUAAGAAAAAGCGUCAGGUUUUCUAUCUUACCUUGAUCAGAGCUGCAGUGAACAGGGUUGUUGACAACACUCGGGGAGAGGGUGAACGGGCAGGGGCACACACAGGUGGCUUGUAAAAGGUGAAUUGUAAUAGGAAACAGAGAGAUAGAUCGUUCGCAGAAGGGAAAGGGGCCAAGAGAAGGGGGGACGGGUGAGAAGAGGGGGAAGGGGAUGGAGCAAGAAUGAAGACGUGCCGUGUCACCUUCAGCCUCCCGGGUGAGCGUGGUCAUUGUGCACUGCAAACGUGUGCUGAGAAAAAUGAAAACUUGAAAGAAAAUAGAAAAUAUAAUAAAAUAUGAAUUUUUAAAAAAUGUGUAAGAAGAGAUAAAAAGCAGUCUUAGUACUUCCUUGGGGCAUUUCCCAAUUCUUCCCGUCAUAUGAUUCCAUGAGGAGUUGGUAAGAGGGGCACCCCUCCCCCACACCCAGCGCUGUGUCUGCUCCAUCGCCCUGUGCCCUGGCAGCACCCUCUGUGAUGAGGGCUGGUGUUGC
rnacentral:lncRNA from 1 species